rnacentral:rRNA from 1 species
UACGGGGGGGAGCAAGCGUUGUUCGGAUUUACUGGGCGUAAAGGGCGCGUAGGCGGUCGUGACAAGUCACUUGUGAAAUCUCCGGGCUUAACUCGGAACGGUCAAGUGAUACUGUCGGACUAGAGUACAGAAGGGGCAACUGGAAUUCUCGGUGUAGCGGUGAAAUGCGUAGAUAUCGAGAGGAACACCUGCGGCGAAAGCACUCUGCUGGGCCGAACACUGACACUGGAGAAGACGAAAGCUAGGGGGAGCGAAUGGG